UGAAAGUCACGUCCCGCCGCCUCUUUGCAGACAUGGUCUCUAUACCACCCAGACGCCUGUCCUCUGCUGGCUUCUAUACCGGGCACCGGGCCCAGCACUUCACAUGCAUGGUCUCGUUUUCAUCUCCACAGUCCUGUGAAUUAGGGACUAUGCCUUGCUCUCCCCGAAUUUCGAAGACAUAGCAAUAGAAGCCGAGACAGUUCAGUAAUUUGCCAGAGGCCACACACAGGUCUGCGGCCGAGGUGGGAUUGGAAUUCGGGUCUGUCUGACUCCACAGCUGGGCUCCUCCCACAUCACCUCAGGAAGAGCCACCAUGUGAUGCAGAAGGUCCAAACCCACCAGGGCACUGAGCAGAGGGACUUUCUGAACCUGCCUGCCCUCUGCCCACUGGGCCCACUCUAUGCUGCUUUACUGGCCUGGCUUGAAUACGUGGGUCCUGUUUCCAGCCUUACCCUAGGCAGGCCCAGGUGCUCACGCUCCCAGGCUCCCUGGCAGCCCAGGUGGCCAGGAGACAGAGCUUUGGCCAAUGAGAUGUUACGGGGUGUCUCCCAGGAGGCUUCUGUGGAAUCUGUUCCCUUCCUAGUAAAAGCAGCAGACCGGGGGAAAGAGCCCCUUUCUACCUCCUCUUCAGGAUCACUCAUGUGAAGACCUGCUAUUUGCGGCCACCUCGAGGCUGGGAGAAUGGUAGACACUGACCAAGCCUGCUGAUACGAUGGAGCUACAAACCGCCCUGCAUGCACCCACCGACAGACUCUUGCUUUGUGACAUAAUGAAAUGCCUCUUCUUGCCUGAGCCCUCGCUACCCACAGUGCAACCCCACAUCAGCAGCAUAAGUAUUUUUCAUGUUCUGUCAAGCUCCUGUGAAUUUCAUCAUCGGUGGCUGCCUGACGUCCUUGCGUGGCACACAGCUGGGGAACGGCGUUGCUACUCCACACGACACCACGGUGGACAUCUUUUUGCAGAAAGUAUCUUACUCUCCCAUUUAACUGAUAUGGCUGGACACUCAAGCCUGGGCCACAAACCAGGACAUUACGGCACAUGCAGUGUGGGUAAGUUCCCCUCCCUGGGCACCGAUCUGCGGCUGUGGGGAUGAAAGAUUUAUGAGCUCAUUACCAAUUGCUGGUGACUUCCUGGGCCACUUAUUUUCUGUCACUGUGAAAGGAUGGUGAUAAUCGAACGUCAAACCAACCAAUUAAAAUGCAUGUCCGGAAAUGCCAUUGUGAAAUAUUUGGGGAGCGUUCUUUCAGUGACUCGUUGGAUCCACUCUUCGGAUGUCUUUUUUCCCUGCUUUGACCAAAACAGGGAAAUUAAAAGCACAUGGCAGCUCUCAGGCAUGUUUUGAAUUUUCAAAUCCCAGCUCCCAACCGGAGGCCCGAGUGGCCGUCACCCUGUUUCUGGGCUUGGCAUCUCCUGGGUGUGUGCACGCGGAGGUUCUGAUGGCCUGGAAGGCCAGGGCUUCCUGAAGGAGCGCCAGGCGGCGAGCUCCAGGCGUCCCGCGGAGGUGCCCGCAGGAAGCGAGCUCCGGGCCGGCGGGCGGGGGGAGGCCCGCGUUCCUUUGGAGCGUUUCAGGCCCAAGAUAAGCUGCCGUGGAGCCCCGGGCUGCUGGCAGCAGGGGCGCCCGGUUGUUUUGACUGCUGACAGAGUCAAACUGGAGAAGGGCCUCUAGUUCAGGAGGCGCCGCGAGCAGACGAGGCCUCAGUCGGUCCGCAGCCGGGGGGCAGGUCUGGAGGCAGCGAGGGGCUGCGGGGAGGAGUCCGCGCGGCCUUAAGAGGACCCCGGGGGGCGCGGGCACGGGGUUUUCUCGAGAAAGUUAAAGCCACCCACUGUUUAGUUGAAGCCUGCCUUUUCGGUGCGUUUCGUUUAUCUGGGGUGAGAGGGCGCCGGGGUGGGAGCCGUGCUGGAGAGAGGGGCCCAGGGACCCCGGGCUCCUCGGAGGAGUUGGGCAUCCCAGGAAAGACGGCUGCGGCGGGAGGGGCAGCGC
rnacentral:lncRNA from 1 species